CUACGGGACGCAGCAGUGAGGAAUUUUGCGCAAUGGGGGAAACCCUGACGCAGCAACGCCGCGUGAGUGAUGAGGGCCUUCGGGUCGUAAAACUCUGUCAAGUGGGAAGAACCUAUGUAAGGUUAAUACCCUUAUGUACUGACGGUACCACUGAAGGAAGCACCGGCUAGCUCCGUGCCAGCAGCCGCGGUAAUACGGAGGGUGCAAGCGUUAUUCGGAAUUAUUGGGCGUAAAGGGCGCGCAGGCGGUUUUGUAAGUCAGAUGUGAAAGCCCGGGGCUUAACCUCGGAAGUGCAUUUGAUACUGCAAGACUUGAGUAUGGGAGGGGGAAGUGGAGUUCCUGGUGUAGAGGUGAAAUUCGUAGAUAUCAGGAGGAACACCAGUGGCGAAGGCGACUUCCUGGACCAAUACUGACGCUGAGGCGCGAAGGCGUGGGGAGCAAACAGGAUUAGAUACCCUCGUAGUC
rnacentral:rRNA from 1 species